AGUGGCGAAAGGGGCAGUAAGGCAUGGGUAACCUACCUCGGGGACGAGGAUAGCCUUCCUAACGGAAGGGUAAUACUUGGCGAUCUGAUUGGGGGGCAUCCCUUGGUCAGGAAACGAAUUUCGCCUCGAGAGGGGCUCAUGUAGUAUUAGCUGGUUGGUGGGGUAACGGCCCACCAAGGCGAAGAUGCUUAGCGGGUGUGAGAGCACGACCCGCGCCACUGGCACUGAGACACUGGCCAGACUCCUACGGGAGGCUGCAGUCGAGGAUCUUCGGCAAUGGGCGCAAGCCUGACCGAGCGACGCCGCGUGUGCGAUGAAGGCCUUCGGGUUGUAAAGCACUGUCGAGGGGGAGAAAGCCGCAAGGUUGAUCGACCCCUGGAGGAAGCACGGGCUAAGUUCGUGCCAGCAGCCGCGGUAAGACGAACCGUGCGAACGUUGUUCGGAUUCACUGGGCUUAAAGGGCGCGUAGGCGGGUGCUCAAGUCAGGGGUGAAAUCUUUCGGCUCAACCGGAAAAGUGCCUCUGA
rnacentral:rRNA from 1 species